UACGGGGGGAGCAAGCGUUGUUCGGAUUUACUGGGCGUAAAGGGCUCGUAGGCGGUCCAUCGCGUCGGGAGUGAAAAGCUGGGGCUUAACCCCAGUCCUGCUUCCGAUACGGGUGGACUAGAGGUAGGUAGGGGAGAUCGGAAUUCCUGGUGUAGCGGUGAAAUGCGUAGAUAUUGGGAGGAACACCGGGUGGCGAAGGCGGCAUCCUGGACCAACACUGACACUGAGGAGCGAAAGCCAGGGGAGCAAACGGG
rnacentral:rRNA from 1 species